rnacentral:rRNA from 1 species
GACGUAGGGCGCGAGCGUUGUCCGGGAUUUAUUGGGCGUAAAGAGCUCGUAGGCGGCUUGUCGCGUCGACUGUGAAAACCCGUGGCUCAACCAUGUGGUCUGCAGUCGAUACGGGCAGGCUAGAAUUCGGUAGGGGAGACUGGAAUUCCUGGUGUAGCGGUGAAAUGCGCAGAUAUCAGGAGGAACACCGGUGGCGAAGGCGGGUCUCUGGGCCGAUAUUGACGCUGGAGGAGCGAAAGCGUGGGGAGCGAACAGG